AAAAAGACAAACCCUGGUUUCCGUGCCUAAUGUUUGACCGUCCGUCUUAUUUGAAAAUUUUUUAAAAAGAAUUAAAAAACAAGUCACGUAUAAAAUAUUAAUCAUGUUUUAUCAUCUAACAACAAUGAAAAUACGAAUUAUAAAAAAAUUUCAUAUAAGACGGACAGUCAAAGUUGAACACGCAAACCCAGGGUUUGCCUUUUU
rnacentral:pre_miRNA from 1 species